rnacentral:rRNA from 1 species
CCCUUAGAUGUUCUGGGCCGCACGCGCGCUACAAUGGUCUUCGCAAACGGAUGCAUUCUCGAAGGAGAAUGCCAAUCUUGGAAUCUAUGCCUUGGUCGGGACAUUUGCUUGCAAUUUUUCGACUCGAACCAGGAAUUCCUUGUAAUCGUGAUUCAUCACAUCACGAUGAAUACGUCCCUGCCCUUUGUACACACCGCCCGUCGCUCCUACCGAUCGAAGAGUUAGGUGAAUUGUUUUGAUCGAUAAGAUUUGACUAUGGUCAACUCUCGUUGUGAAAUUCUGUGAAUCUGACUGUUUAGAGGAAGGAAAAGUCGUAACA